GUUAUAUUAGCUUAAUUGGUAAAGCACCCGUUUUGUAAUCGGGAGAGUGUGGGUUCGACUCCUACAUAUAGCA
rnacentral:tRNA from 1 species